rnacentral:misc_RNA from 1 species
UUGAUUGGCCGUGAGGCCUUAUCGUAUGUCCCAACACACCUCUGUGAACCGUCUGGCCCUUAGGCCGUUUUUACAUAUGAACACUGUGUAACGAACGUCUUGUUAUCUAAACAGAACA